rfam:Madurella mycetomatis strain mm55 MMYC01_Sc2081, whole genome shotgun sequence.
GGUUGUAUAGUGUAGCGGUUAUCACUCCGGAUUCUGAAUUCAUCAGUGCAUUCCGGCAACCCCGGUUCGAUUCCGGGUACGACCU